CAGGGCAGGGGCGGCGCGGAGCGGCGCGGCGGCUCCCCCCCCGCCACCCCGCCCCGCAUCAGUAACGGCGGGCGGGGCGGCAUGUGCCCCUCGCCCAGCCCCAUCGCCCUGCGGGGCUUCGGGACCGCCUGCCCGGUCCCCGCAGGGGAGGGCGGGAAGGGGUGGCGGCCCCCCUGUAGGCCGAGAGCGGAGGGUGGCGGCAGCCCCCGGCUCGUCCAGGCCUCCGCGGUCCUGGCGGUCCCCAUGGUGGGGCGCGUCCCGCGGCGGGGCUGGGCCGGGCCGUGGCGGCGGCGGGUGGUGCCGCAGGGCCCCGCGGGAGGAGGAUGCGCUCCCGGCGGCCUCGGCCCUGCCGCUCCCCGCAGCAGCCCCGCGGCACCCGCGGGUGCGGCCUUCGCUGCCCCCCGGCCCCGCGGGGCGCCCCCGGCGCUCCGCCCGACUCCCCUUCCCCGGCAGGAGUUUACUUCCGAGCGGGAUGCCCGCGCUGGGUGGCUUGUUUGGGCGUCGUUAGUACGUGCGCUGUGAGGCAGUCGCUGUGUGUUAGCGGGGAGAGCGUUCUUCAAUGUAAAGCACAGACUUUGAAGAAGCCUUGCAUUCCUGUGGAAACUGCAGCAAAGGUCCUGAUGUUACAGAUACUUAUAAGAGUGUUGAAGUGAAGUCACUGAGGUCUCUGAUAUGCAGAAAGUUGUCACAUGCAUAUACACGUGCGGAUUUUGCCUGAAAGGGCAUACUUCCAAAGAUGUCUAGAAAAAAACAGCGAUUAAAAUAUAAUAGAGUUGGUAUCUCAGGGUCAAUCCAGUACUGUGGUUUCUGGGCCCUCAAGAGUCUUUGACUUGCUGUGAAUUAUUUCUUCAGUGAAGAAUUUGCAGUCCUUUGCAAGUCUUACAUACAGAACCUUAACUUCAGUCUGGUAAUGUUCUUUAACUCAAAUUGAUUGCCUUGCUGCUGUGCAACAUAAGUUAAUACAACUCAUCAGUUGCUAGCCUUUAGUGGCCUCAAGCGAAUUGGUAGGAUGACUUCUUUUGUUUGGGCUAAGCAGUCUAUAGGAGUCUUUGCCGAUGUUGCUGUAGCUUGCAUUGCAGCAAGGUCAAAGACUUUCUCAUGCAGUGUUUGUUCUUAAUAUGUUUUUGAGAUUAUUUUGACAGGCUGGUAGCACAUAUUUUAGAGCUGGAAUAUGUUUUUCCCACAUACCUGAAGAAGCUUUGAUGAUACCACCUGAGACUGUACACUUCUGUAUAAAAUUGUAGCCAGUUAAGAGCCACAAAAUGUCCCGGGAUGUACUUCAUAUAUAAACAUGACAAGAUUAAUGUAUUUUAUAUCUUCAUUUUGUAUAUGUUAAGGCCUGUUUAAAAAGAUAAUUAAAAAUGCAUAUUAAAUGUUACCUGUGGUUCAAUGAA